CCUGCUCCCAUGCUCUGCACAGAACAUUGUUGUCAUUUAACAGGGAAUCUUCCUGCUUUCCAAUGUUCUCAGACCCUUAUGAGGAUUCAAUGACCUGUGUUUUUGAACAAGAGUUGAAUAGCUAAAUCCAGUAUGGUCCACCAUUGAUGUAAAAACUGACUCCUAAGAGUGUAAUCGACCCAGUUAUGAGGCUCCCUUCGGGUACUGGAAGGCCACAGCGAUGCAGGUUUGUAAUUGGCCUUUCCUGCUCCGAGAUGGCCCCAGCUGCUGUGCCAUGUUCCUGGCUCCCAGCUCUGAGGCGCUGACUACAGGUCUCCCAUUGCCCUGGAAGUUUGUAGUUACAAGAUGUGAGUGGAGGAUUGGUUUAUUUUAGGUUUACAACUAUCCUAGGAUGAAAAACAGCCUUGAGAAAUGGUUCUUGAUAGUGGGAUACCAUUCACACUGAACACAAAAAUAAGCCCAGGUUCAGCUUUAAAAUUCAGAGCAUAUUACAUAUCCGAGUCCCAUAACCACUUCUACAUUUUGUGCAGUGUAAAUUUGUUCAGUGUUUCCAUUCACUGAGAGAAGUCAGGGACUUCCAAAGAACCCACCACUUGUCAGGAUGCUGGCUUACAUACACCUGCUUUGUCGCUUCACUGUGGGCUAUGAUUAAAGCUAUGUUAUCCCA
rnacentral:lncRNA from 1 species